AUUGAACGCUGGCGGCAGGCCUAACACAUGCAAGUCGAACGAUUGGCGGACGGGUGAGUAAUGUAUGGGACACUGCCCGAUGGAGGGGGAUAACUACUGGAAACAGUAGCUAAUCCCGCAUACCAUCGGAUGUGCCUAGAUGGGAUUUGCUGGUAGGUGGGGUAAAGGCUCACCUGGGCGACGAUCCCUAGCGGGUCUGAGGGGAUGACCGGCAACACUGGAACGGGGACACGGACCAGACUCCUACGGGAGGAGGCAGUGGGGAAUAUUGCACAAUGGGCGAAAUCCGAAUGCAUCCAGGCCGGGUGGAUGAAGAAGGCCUUCGGGUGGUAAAGUACUUUGAGCGAGGAGGCGUUACUCGCAGAAGAAGCACCGGCUAACUCCGUGCCAGCAGCCGCGGUAAUAC
rnacentral:rRNA from 1 species